AAAGCACAAAAAUUUCACCUUCAACGUAAAAGUAAGUGGAAUGGAGCAAAAGGACAUGUAAUCAAAACCUGAUCAGUGAGCUCUCUUUUCUCCGCACAAUUGCGCACUAAAUCCCUCUUGCACACUGAGAGAGAGGGGGCGACGAUUGAGAGAAAUAGCAGAAUAAUCUUUUUUAAAAUUUUCACAAUGGAAAAACUUUUGGAUUCUGGGUCCUGGGUCUUGGUCCCGACUUGACUUCAUCAGUUAAGAGACAGCUCUUCUCGUUCUCAGUCCAUUUCUUUUAUGGCAAGGGAUGGGAGACGCUGCAAAAACAUCGAUUCAUACUUCAAUAUGCG
rnacentral:misc_RNA from 1 species